ensembl:lncRNA novel transcript
AGACGCGCGGCGGGCACAGAUGUUCUAUGGCCGGGUGUGGUGGCUCACUCAUGUAAUCCCAGCACUUUGGGAGGCUGAGGUGGACGGAUCACUUGAGAUUAAAGCCAGUGAAUAAAACUAAAGGUCACUUUAAAGGAGUAUAAAGCUACAGUGGACAUAACGUGGCAUAGGUGAUCUUGACACCACAGAACUGUGAAGCCUGCAAUCCUACAAUAUAGAGGGGUAUGAGGAAGACAUCUCAGGAUACUGAAGAGUGUUGCAGAGGACCCACAAAUAGUCCUGAGCAUGAGAUGGUGGACAACAAACCCAUUUUUGGUGUGGGUGUUGCAGCAAGAGCGCUGGCCUGCCAUGAUCUGCUACAUUCUACCUGGAAAUACAAGUCAGAAGUCAGCCUGUCAUAUUUUUUCAAAAGGCACCAUGCAGUCUGGCCGCUGCUUCUCCAUGGAUCCCAUCUCCUCUUGGACUCUGCUGUGGCUACACAAGUCUCCUGGAUGUGUCUGGACCUACUAGGUUUGGUUAACUUGCCUUUGCACUAGUCUUCCUCUCCGGAAUAUUUCUGUCCCAGAUACAUACAUAGCUUGACCCCUCUACUUAUUCGUGUUCGCUAUCCUCUUACCCUGCUUCAUUUUCUCUUCACUACAUUUAGUCACCAUUUGAUAUAUUAUAUCUCUUUUGUUUAUUGAUUCUCAUCCCCAAUUACAAUGCAAGUGCCAUGAAAAC